rnacentral:rRNA from 1 species
UACGUAGGAGACUAACGUUAUCCGGAGUUACUGGGCGUAAAGGGCGCGUAGGUGGUUCUGUAAGUCUGGCGUGAAAUUUUUCGGCUUAACCGGGAAAGGUCGUCGGAUACUGCAGGGCUAGAGGACGGUAGAGGCGUGUGGAAUUCCGGGUGUAGUGGUGAAAUGCGUAGAGAUCCGGAGGAACACCAGUGGCGAAGGCGACACGCUGGGCCGUACCUGACACUGAUGCGCGACAGCAUGGGGAGCAAACAGG